rnacentral:rRNA from 1 species
UACAGAGGAGCCAAGCGUUGUCCGGAUUGACUGGGCGUAAAGCGCACGCAGGCGGUUGCGCGCGUGGGGUGUGAAAUCUGGCCGCUUAACGGCCAGGCGCCAUCCCAUACGGCGCGACUGGAGUGAUGCAGAGGUCGGUGGAAUUGCCGGUGUAGUGGUGAAAUGCGCAGAUAUCGGGAAGAACACCCGUGGCGAAGGCGGCUCUCUGGGACGGUACUG